UACAGAGGUCUCAAGCGUUGUUCGGAUUCAUUGGGCGUAAAGGGUUCGUAGGCGGCGCGUUAAGUCGGGUGUGAAAUCUCGGGGCUUAACUCCGAAACUGCAUUCGAUACUGCCGUGCUUGAGGACUGGAGAGGAGACUGGAAUUUACGGUGUAGCGGUGAAAUGCGUAGAUAUCGUAAGGAAGACCAGUGGCGAAGGCGGGUCUCUGGACAGUUCCUGACGCUGAGGCACGAAGGUCAGGGGAGCAAACGGG
rnacentral:rRNA from 1 species